GCAUCGGUGGUUUAGUGGUAAAAUUAGCCGUUGCCAUUCAUCUUCUUGAUGAGCGACGUCGGCUAGCCCCGGGUUCGAUUCCCGGCCGAUGCA